CUGCAAUCGGUCCCCAAACUCGCUGAAUGAAGCUCAUUCAGAUUAGAUAAUUUAUCUGAAGACACACGGUUAGUAAAAGGCAGAACCCAGGUUUGUAUUCCGAAGCCCUUUUGUUCUUUUCCACCACAUUAUUAUGGACUCCCUAACAGUAAUCCUAGUAAUUUUUAAAUGAACAUACACCAUAGUUCCUGUCCUGAACACCGAGAGACGUUGGUUCACGGAGGUGAGAAAGUUGACGCAUCCCGCUGCGUCCCCUCCACCGCCGCGCACCCAGUCUCGCAGCUGGCAUGGUGUUUCCUGGUGACAUGAACUCAACCAGCUGGAGGCUCGGGAUCUGGGGAUCGGGGUGACAUCCUUUGGUCUGGUUUGCAAGAGGACCCGCACGCCUCCAGCUGGGACAGAAUUGAAAGGUUCAGAAAGGAAAGCUGGGGAGGUGGGGAAGGAAGAGUGCAAAAGUGACGCUGUGCCAGGGUCUCCAGGGCCAAGCAGCCCCGGGCCAGGCUGUGCACUCCGACCUGCGCAAACGCGUGGGGCGGUGCAUCUCCGGAUCUGGAAGUUGCCUCUGCCCUCACCAAAUAUGGCGGCCCCGGCGCCGCUCGCCCGCCUCUCGUAACCAAUGGAACCGCGGCGGUCGGCUGAUUCACGCAGGCGGUCUCUGCUCUACGCUCUCUGAUGCAACGCCGGAGUCGCGGAAGCCGUUGGUGCACGUCGGCGUGGCAAGACGUCGGCGGUAUUGCAGUCUAUGUCCUUGGAGGUGACCAGAGCCACUGCAGCCAUGGUGCUAGAGCUGUACGUCUCUGACCGAGAGGGAAGCGAUGCCACGGGAGAUGGAACCAAGGAGAAACCAUUUAAAACUGGUCUAAAGGCUUGAUGACAGUAGGAAAAGAACCAUUUCCUACCAUUUACGGAUAGAUUCCACAAAAGAAAA